rnacentral:tRNA from 1 species
GCGGGCGUGGUGUAGUGGUAACAUGUUUGCUUCCCAAGCAAAAGACCGUGGGUCCGAAUCCCAUCGCCCGCU